GUCCCGAUAGCUCAGGGGGAGAGCGCCGCUCUGACACGGCGGAGGCCACCGGUUCGACACCGGUUCGGGGCA
rnacentral:tRNA from 1 species